AACUGUGAUGUGUUGAUGUCGUAUUGUGUAUUUUUGAAUUUAAUUUCCUUUUCUGUGAAACUGCAGCCUUCCAGUUUGGCCCCUGUGGCCCCUGUGUCAUCCACACCAUCCACGCCACUACCUGUACUACUUGUAACACCGGGGCAGUCAGGAACAACAUCUGGGAAGGCACCUUUAAAGCCUACUUUGACUUUGGCAUCGGUAAAUGCAUGUCUUUAUGCAGAUAUUUAUGUUAUCAUAUGUUAUAUAACAUUUUAAAAGGCUUCACAUAAUGUUAUUAAUUUCUUUUUGUCAGUUUACAAAGCCGCGGUAUGGUGGGUCCCAUGGUGCAGCUUUAAAGCCAAACGUAGGUGUGGCAAGGACGCAUGCAACCAAGUCCCAGGCUGUAUAUCCAGACCGUCUCCCCCCUGUCUCUUCCUCCUUCUUCUGUGUCUGAAGCCACCUCUGCUUCCUGUGCUCCAAGAGCUGCUUCUGGAGUUGAAGUGUCAGCCGCUGCCUCCUCUCGGACCUCCUCUGGGACCUCCUCUGCUCCUCUCACCCCUGUUAUCAGCUCCGCCUGUGUUCCCUCUGCUGCUCCAUCUGUGGCUGGAUCCUCUGUCCAACCUGCUGAGAAUAUGGUGACCGCUCCAGGUUCAGAGUCUGGAUGGCUUCCCGCAAAGUUGCUGAAAACCAUACCACCACAGGAUCAGAAGUGGGUUUCAGCAGCUUUGUGGAAGCAACAUCGGCUUCGUACCGACCUGAAGCUGUGGUAUGAUCCACCAGAGCCAGCUCUGAUUUAUCACCAAGGCCCCACUCCAGAGCGUUUCUUUACACACAGGCUUCUACUGUGGAUGCCAUACCACCUCUGGAAGAUUCAGGCUGUCCUGUCCUGUAUGUGGGAGACAGCUCACAGGCUAUGGGGCGCACAAGAGAGCCCGCCAGGUUCUGUAUGUGGACCGGUACUACCUGAUGAUCACGGAGACUCUCUGGUGCAGUGCAGUUGGGUGCAAAACGGCCUUUAUUUCCACCAGCAAGGCCAUCUUGGACCAGCUGGACUUAGCCCACAGGUUGGAAUUUAGGCUGAUCCUAACUCGAAAGUAAGUAUACUGAGGUUAUUUAGCUUGUGUAACAAAUGUUUGUCAUUUAAAAUACAAUUGAGAUGAGCUGGUUUUAAUGUUUGUGUCUUUCUGUCUCUCUUUCCCUUUGUUUAUUCAGAUAUACCUGUGACAUGCGGGUCAUAAGGUUCCUGAGGGAGAGGGCCCUGGGCAACAGCCCUUCUCGCUUGGUGAGGCAGCUGCGGGAGAACCACAGCGAGGAG
rnacentral:lncRNA from 1 species